rnacentral:lncRNA from 1 species
GUAAGUGAGCUCUAAGCGAGUGAAGGAAGUGUGCUACAAGAGAGUGAAGGAAGGAAGCCGAGUGAAGGGAGUUCAUGGAAUCCCCUGAGUCUGAGGCGUCUCUAGUCCAUGGGUCAUAUGCCUCCACUCCAGUCAACGAGUUUGAUGACCUGCCCUUGAAUUUCAAGAACGGACUUAAUGAGAGUUCACCAAGUGCUAUUGUACGCAUUUAAACAUCCAUACAUCGAGUUUUUCAGCUUCCAUAUCUUGACACAGAUGCAGUGCGCUAGAAAGCGAGUUUCCCUCUCCCAGCGAGAGAAGUGC